AACGAACGCUGGCGGCAUGCCUAACACAUGCAAGUCGAACGAGACCUUCGGGUCUAGUGGCGCACGGGGGCGUAACGCGGGGGAACCUGCCCUUAGGUUCGGAAUAACUCCCCGAAAGGGGUGCUAAUACCGGAUAAGGUCUUCGGACCAAAGAUUUAUCGCCUUUGGAUGGGCCCGGGUUGGAUUAGCUAGUUGGGAGGGUAAAAGCCUACCAAGGCGACGAUCCAUAGCUGGUCUGAGAGGAUGACUAGCCACACUGGGACUGCGACACGGCCCCGUCUCCGACGCGAGGCAGCAGUGGGGAAUAUUGGACAAUGGACGAAAGCCUGAUCCAGCCAUGCCGCGUGAGUGAUGAAGCGCUUAGGGUUGUAAAGCUCUUUUACCCGGGAUGAUAAUGACAGUACCGGGAGAAUAAGCUCCGGCUAACUCCGUG
rnacentral:rRNA from 1 species